AAGACCUUGCGCUUUUGGAGCGGCCGAUGCCUGAUUAGCUUGUUGGUAAGGUAGAAGCUUACCAAGGCUUCGAUCAGUAGCUGGUCUGAGAGGACGACCAGCCACACUGGGACUGAGACACGGCCCAGACUCCUACGGGAGGCAGCAGUGGGGAAUUUUGGACAAUGGGGGCAACCCUGAUCCAGCCAUGCCGCGUGAGUGAAGAAGGCCUUCGGGUUGUAAAGCUCUUUCAGCCGGAACGAAACGGUUACGGUUAACACCCGUGACUACUGACGGUACCGGAAGAAGAAGCACCGGCUAACUACGUGCCAGCAGCCGCGGUAAUACGUAGGGUGCGAGCGUUAAUCGGAAUUACUGGGCGUAAAGCGUGCGCAGGUGGUUUUGUAAGUCAGAUGUGAAAGCCCCGGGCUCAACCUGGGAACU
rnacentral:rRNA from 1 species